CCUACGGGAGGCAGCAGUGGGGAAUAUUGGGCAAUGGAGGAAACUCUGACCCAGCAAUGCCGCGUGAAUGAAGAAGGUCUUCGGAUUGUAAAGUUCUUUAGUCAGGGAGUAAUAAAAUGCCGGUACCUGAAGAAUAAGCUCCGGCUAACUACGGGCCAGCAGCCGCGGUAAUACGUAGGGAGCAAGAGUUGUUCGGAAUGACUGGGGGUAAAGGUUGUGUAGGCGGUUAUACAAUUUAUAAGUGAAAUACCCAGGGUUUAACUCGGGUGCUGCUUCUAAAACUGUAAGGCUUGAGUGCAGUAGAGGGGAGUGGAAUUCCAGGGGUAGCGGUGGAAUGCGUAGAUAUUAGGAGGAACACCAGAGGCGAAGGCGGCUAACUGGACUGCAACUGACGCUGAGGCACGAAAGUGUGGGGAGCAAACAGGAUUAGAUACCCCAGUAGUC
rnacentral:rRNA from 1 species